rfam:Nomascus leucogenys chromosome 11, whole genome shotgun sequence.
GCCGGGCGUGGUGGUGCAUGUCUGUAGUCCCAGCUACUCAGGAGGCUGAGGCAGGAGAAUCGCUUGAACCCAGGAGGCAGAGGUUGCAGUGAGCCAAGAUCGUGCCACUGCACUCCAGCCUGGGUGACAGAGUGAGACCCUGGCUCAA